GUAGUCGGCCCAAAUAAGCUAUUGGUGAAAUCCUUGAGCUCAACUUGAGGGCGUGCCGGUAGAACUAUUCGGCUUGGGAGUGGGGGAGGUUAGAAGUACGCUUGGGGUAGGGGUUAAAUCCGUUAAUCCUAGGCGGACUAGCAGUGGCGAAGGCGUCUAACCAAAACAGGUCCGACGAUGAGGUGCGAAGGCUAGGGGAGCAAACGGGAUUAGAUACCCCGGUAGUCCUAGCUGUAAAUGAUGUAGAUUUGGUGUUACGUUAGCCUCGAGCUGACGUAGUGCCGUA
rnacentral:rRNA from 1 species